AAGCGCUUAUGACCAGACUUGGGCUUGGUUGAUCAUCCUGGGUUCUCCCUGGUGCACUCUUCCAGUUCAGGCCAGCAUCAGUUCGCUGCGGGGGAUAAAAGUUUUGGGAAUGUGGCUCCCUCGGGAGUGUUAUAGCCCAUUUCAUAAUACCCUGCUCCGGACUGAGGUUCGCGCAUCUGCAAGGAUGCUGGCGUAAUGGUCAUCAGCGA
rnacentral:rRNA from 1 species